rnacentral:rRNA from 1 species
GAUGAACGCUGGCGGCGUGCUUAACACAUGCAAGUCGAACGAAGCACUUUAUUUGAUUUCCUUCGGGACUGAUUAUUUUGUGACUGAGUGGCGGACGGGUGAGUAACGCGUGGGUAACCUGCCUUGUACAGGGGGAUAACAGUUGGAAACGGCUGCUAAUACCGCAUAAGCGCACGGCAUCGCAUGAUGCAGUGUGAAAAACUCCGGUGGUAUAAGAUGGACCCGCGUUGGAUUAGCUAGUUGGUGAGGUAACGGCCCACCAAGGCGACGAUCCAUAGCCGACCUGAGAGGGUGACCGGCCACAUUGGGACUGAGACACGGCCCAAACUCCUACGGGAAGCAGCAGUGGGGAAUAUUGCACAAUGGGCGAAAGCCUGAUGCAGCGACGCCGCGUGAGCGAAGAAGUAUUUCGGUAUGUAAAGCUCUAUCAGCAGGGAAGAGAAUGACGGUACCUGACUAAGAAGCACCGGCUAAAUACGUG